GUUGAACGCUGGCGGCAGGCUUAACACACGCAAGUCGAGCGGGGGAAGGUAGCUUGCUACCGGACCUAGCGGCGGACGGGUGAGUAAUGCUUAGGAAUCUGCCUAUUAGUGGGGGACAACAUCUCGAAAGGGAUGCUAAUACCGCCUACGUCCUACGGGAGAAAGCAGGGGAUCUUCGGACCUUGCGCUCAUAGAUGAGCCUAAGUCGGAUUAGCUAGUUGGUGGGGUAAAGGCCUACCAAGGCGACGAUCUGUAGCGGGUCUGAGAGGAUGAUCCGCCACACUGGGACUGAGACACGGCCCAGACUCCUACGGGAGGCAGCAGUGGGGAAUAUUGGACAAUGGGGGGAACCCUGAUCCAGCCAUGCCGCGUGUGUGAAGAAGGCCUUAUGGUUGUAAAGCACUUUAAGCGAGGAGGAGGCUACUCUAGUUAAUACCUAGGGAUAGUGGACGUUACUCGCAGAAUAAGCACCGGCUAACUCUGUGCCAGCCGCCGCGGUAA
rnacentral:rRNA from 1 species